rnacentral:rRNA from 1 species
CUACGGGGCGCUGCAGUGAGGAAUAUUGCGCAAUGGGCGAAAGCCUGACGCAGCGAUGCCGCGUGAGUGAAGAAACCCUUAGGGGUGUAAAGCUCUUUUUUAUGGGACGAAUGCCCGUUUCGGCGGGAGCGACGGUACCAUGAGAAUAAGCACCGGCUAACUCCGUGCCAGCAGCCGCGGUAAUACGGAGGGUGCAAGCGUUGUCCGGAUUUACUGGGCGUAAAGGGCGUGUAGGCGGGAUGAUCAGUCGGAGGUGAAAUUUGCACAGCUCAACUGGCAAAGUGCCUUCGAUACUGUUAUCCUUGAGUGAAGGAGGGGGGAGUGGAAUUCCCGGUGUAGCGGUGGAAUGCGCAGAUAUCGGGAGGAACACCGGUGGCGAAGGCGGCUACCUGGCCUUACACUGACGCUGAUGCGCGAAAGCGUGGGGAGCAAACAGGAUUAGAUACCCGCGUAGUC